rnacentral:rRNA from 1 species
UAAUCAUUUGUCUAUUAAUUGUAGACCGGUAUGAAAGGCUACAUGAGAGUCAAACUGUCUCUUGUAAUCAAUCAAUUAAACUGAUCUCCCAGUUCAAAAGCUGGAAUUACCAUAUAAGACCAGAAGACCCUGUGAAGCUUAAACUUAACUAUUAAAUCCAAUAAUAGCCACUUUCAGUUGGGGCGACUUUGGAAAAAAAAAGAACUUCCAAAAACCAUGAGCCUUCCCUCAUAACACCAAGGCCAACACGCCAUAUCACGACCCAGUAAAACUGAUAAUUGAACCAAGUUACUCCAGGGAUAACAGCGCUAUCUUCUUCAAGAGCCCAUAUCAAAAAGAAGGUUUACGACCUCGAUGUUGGAUCAGGACACCCCAAUGGUGCAGCCGCUAUUAAAGGUU